rnacentral:rRNA from 1 species
GGCUUUGAAGCGGUGACGCCAGUCAUCGUGGAGCCUCCCUUGAGAUACCACCCUUCGCACUCUUGAUGUCUAACCGCGGUCCGUUAUCCGGAUCCGGGACCCUGCGUGGCGGGUAGUUUGACUGGGGCGGUCGCCUCCUAAAUCGUAACGGAGGCGCGCGAAGGUUGGCUCAGAGCGGUCGGAAAUCGCUCGUUGAGUGCAAUGGCAGAAGCCAGCCUGACUGCGAGACUGACAAGUCGAGCAGAGUCGAAAGACGGCCAUAGUGAUCCGGUGGUCCCGAGUGGAAGGGCCAUCGCUCAACGGAUAAAAGGUACGCCGGGG